AGUGAACGCUGGCGGUAGGCCUAACACAUGCAAGUCGAACGGCAGCACAGUAAGAGCUUGCUCUUACGGGUGGCGAGUGGCGGACGGGUGAGGAAUACAUCGGAAUCUACUUUUUCGUGGGGGAUAACGUAGGGAAACUUACGCUAAUACCGCAUACGACCUACGGGUGAAAGCAGGGGAUCUUCGGACCUUGCGCGAUUGAAUGAGCCGAUGUCGGAUUAGCUAGUUGGCGGGGUAAAGGCCCACCAAGGCGACGAUCCGUAGCUGGUCUGAGAGGAUGAUCAGCCACACUGGAACUGAGACGCGGUCCAGACUCCUACGGGAGGCAGCAGUGGGGAAUAUUGGACAAUGGGCGCAAGCCUGAUCCAGCCAUACCGCGUGGGUGAAGAAGGCCUUCGGGUUUUAAAGCCCUUUUGUUGGGAAAGAAAAGCAGCAGGUUAAUACCCCGCUGUUCUGACGGUACCCAAAGAAUAAGCACCGGCUAACUUCGUG
rnacentral:rRNA from 1 species